rnacentral:rRNA from 1 species
GACGAACGCUGGCGGCGUGCUUAACACAUGCAAGUCGAGCGGAAAGGCCACUUCGGUGGUACUCGAGCGGCGAACGGGUGAGUAACACGUGAGUAAUCUGCCCUUGGCUUUGGGAUAGCCACCGGAAACGGUGAUUAAUACCGGAUAUGCACUACUUCUCGCAUGGGUUGUGGUGGAAAGUUUUUCGGCCAGGGAUGUGCUCGCGGCCUAUCAGCUUGAUGGUGAGGUAAUGGCUCACCAUGGCUUCGACGGGUAGCCGGCCUGAGAGGGUGACCGGUCACACUGGGACUGAGACACGGCCCAGACUCCUACGGGAGGCAGCAGUGGGGAAUAUUGGACAAUGGGCGGAAGCCUGAUCCAGCAACGCCGCGUGAGGGAUGACGGCCUUCGGGUUGUAAACCUCUUUCAGCAGGGACGAAGCGCAAGUGACGGUACCUGCAAAAGAAGCACCGGCCAUCUACGUGCCAGCAGCCGCGGUAACAC